rnacentral:rRNA from 1 species
AUGAACGUUGGCGGCGUGGAUUAGGCAUGCAAGUCGAGCGCUCAUCAGCAAUGGUGGGAGCGGCGAACGGCGUAGUAAUUCAUAGGAACGUACCCUCAGGACGGGGAUAGCUACGGGAAACUGUAGGUAAUACCCGAUAACCUCCGCGGAGCAAAGGUGUGAUUCCGCCUGGGGAGCGGCUUAUGCGAUAUUAGCUAGUUGGUGGGGUAAUGGCCUACCAAGGCAAAGAUGUCUAGGGGGUGUGAGAGCAUGGCCCCCACGACCGGAACUGAGAUACUGUCCGGACACCUACGGGUGGCUGCAGUCGAGAAUCUUCCGCAAUGGACGAAAGUCUGACGGAGCGACGCCGCGUGCGGGAUGAAGGCCCUUGGGUUGUAAACCGCUGUCAGAGGGGAUGAAAUCUUCGGAGGUACUCCUCCGAAGUUGACAGAGCCUCAAAGGAAGCACGGGCUAAGUACGU